ACAGACUUUGUACAGUUUGCUUUCAAAUGCACAAAAAACCAAACCAGGAGACCAAAGAUAAAAACUCAUGUGUUUCUUUUCCCCCCUCUCUAAUUGUAGGUGUUAUUAUGACAAGGCAUAUAUAUCUAAAAGUCUUGGCAUUACUUCAGAGAUUGCUGCAUACUCAGUUCUGCAUUUAGUGGGGGCUGCAGAGCACCAAUUCUCCACAAACCACCAACUGGCAGGAAGAAAACCCUCAAUCCAUCUUUUCUAUAAGACCAGCUGCAGAGGGGAGUAAAUUACCAGCUUUGGUGAGUGCCUGGCACCCAGCCAGCAUCAACCCACUACAUCAACCCUCAGAGGAUUGCAUUCUGAUCUCCAUGUCAUAUGACCUUUGAAAAUUAUUCUUCAAAAUUUGGAGGAAAAGAGGACAAAACAAAAUACGAUUUGGUAACUUUUAUUACUGUAUUCUUUUGCAGCUCAGGUUCCAGUUAGUGCCUGAUGUUUGUGGGUAUUGCAGCACUGUAUCAGAGGUUUGAUUCUCCUUUUUGAGCAUUUGGCAGAUCCCUAGAUCCAAACAACAAAUUCCAAGUGCAUUUCUUUUCACAGCCCAAAAUAAACAUGAUGCAAUGCUCUAAGAUGAAAACAUGAUGCAAUAUCUUAUGAGACCCACAGCCUUCCUCUGGGAAAUUUUCUAAGUAAUCCCUGGUAGAGAACUGGUUUGACAUCUCUUGUUUCAUUAGCUAACAGGUGCAGUGGUCUCAAAAGCAGCAGUUUUAGGCUAGAACUAGCAAAAUUCCAAGGUUCUGCUAUUGUAGCGAGACAACAAAUUUUUUUUGCUUUCCCUCUAUUUCCCUCAAAGUGAAUUCUUGUCCAAGCCCACCCCCUGCCACCCACACUUAACAGGCAGUGGUCUCCAUAAGGGCUGGAAAACUGAUGCAUCAGUGUCCCAUCCCAUUUGACAGGGGACCUCUGGAGCAGCCUGAGGAAAAGCCUGUGGGCAGGCUCUCCAGGUGGGCCUGCUGGGGUAAUAAGCUGCCUAAUGGCAUACUAAGCAGCUGAGCAGCUGGGAGUGCUUGAGCCAUCAAUUCAGGAAACUCAUAACGAAAGUAUCUGCAUUUUCACAAGCUCUGGGGAUCACUUGUGCCACUUUUUGGGUUUCCUGUCAGGAAUGGAAUGACACAAAACUGGCAGCCAUAGUGGAAAUAUAAUUUCCCACCUAAUUUGGCAGGUUUGAAAAUCACAGAACCAAAGAUUAUUCUGAAUUGGAAGGGACUCACAGGGAUCAUUGAUGUCCAACUUCUGUCUCUGUACAGGACAGCCCAAGAAUCACAUCAUGUGUUGAGGAUAUUUUUCCAAAUGCUUCUUAAACUCUGUCAGGCUUGGUGCUGUGACCACUUCCCUGGACAGCCUGUUCCAGUGCUCAACCACCCUCUGGUCAAGCCUAAAACUACUGACAGGUCACCUUCCUGAAGCAUUGGAGCUCACUGCUCAGAAGUCAGCCCCAGGGACACACUCCAGGCUCUUCAGAAGUGAUAGCCAAAGCCAUGAGAAGAGAGGACACAUGAAAAUGGAAGAGGAAUGUGAAAAGCAAGAGAGGUAUCACUCUGGAAUCCACAUUAUCCAGCUGUUGGGGUGUUGUUUCCUAUGUCUGUGUGAAUUUAUGAUGCCAUUGUAGAGAACAGAUACCAAAACCUCAAAGCAGUUGGAGUUCCCUCUUGCUGCCAUCUUGCACUGCAUCUGCUCAUCUGCAUCAGGGUGGAACUCUGCCUGUGGGGUUCAGCAGCACGUCUGCCUUGUGAUGGAGUAGAUACCUGCACAAAGAACCCUCCAUAUCCUGCCCAGGGCCAUCCAGCACACCCAUGGUGCAGCCCUCAUCCAAUCUCUCAAGCACCAUUUCUGUCUCUGAAGCUCAGGAACAGCCUUCCUCUCCUAGAGCCAUGUGAGAACCCCAGGUUGCCAUGUCUUCAUGGGUGCAGAUUGUCUGAAGCACCAGAGUAUGCUGCUGGGCAAUGCAUCACAUGGAAAGCCAAUCUUUCCAUCUCCUGUUGCUUUUAUUCAAGAGUACUGAGGGCUGGGGACAUACAAAUGGGCAAGCAGUGGGUAUUUAUCAUUGGGCAUUUUCCAGCUCCAGUCUGCUGGCCAGUGUAACAACAGGUGUUUGAGCUGCUCACAAGAGGCUUGGCAGCCCCCCAGCACACAUCCUCUCCUGCUGGACUGAUUUCUCCCACAUGGUCCAUUCUGUGCAUUUCUUUUAACUUUGCCUUUGUGCAGCAGUUCACAUCUGUGCUCUGCAAAAUCAAAACCUUAGGCAGCUUCUUAAUCUUGAUUGAAUUUAUUAGACCAGAUUCUUUUCUUGGUUAGUUGAGGCAAAUCCAGAUGUUCUCCCAGGUAUAUCUGAGGGGAAAACUUUGUUGAUAAUGUUUUUGAACCUCUUUCUUUUGCUAUAAACAAUGCCCUUGGAAUAGUUCUAAGCUGCUUUGUGAACUUAUUUUUCCCCAUUUGAAAGGACUGAAUAAACUCAACAACUUGGCGGUGCAUUAAAGCUUGUUUGAAACAACACACAAAAGAAUUUGUGCAGCUCAAAUGCCAGAGAAAUGUGUCCACAUGUGAUUGAACAUAAUAGUCCAAGAUUAGAAAAUCUAGCAAGAAGCUAGGGAGGAUUAAGAGCAUGCUCUUGUGGAAACCUUGAUAACUUCAGAUGAAAGUCAAGGCAAUGAGGUAACCAGAUGAGACUAGUUUGCUGAAUUCUAUCACUCUACCAAAAUAAGCAAUGUAAAAAGAGGAUUUUACUCAUUUCUCUUCCGCUCUUAUCCUGCAUCUAGGCAUGAAUAUAAAUUUUUAAAGCCUUGCAGUAUUAAAGCUAUAUAUUUGUGUCAGCAAAUUGAAUACAAUCUGUUUUGUAAAUAUUAGGAGCUCUAAACCCUUGGGCCAAAUUCUGCAAUGAGAUGCACAAAUACAGCUCUGAUAGUCUUCAGCUGAGCAUAUGCAUGAAACAACAGAAAGCAUAAUUUGACUGAGCCAAAUCCAUUCUUUUUAGCAAUAUAAAACAUCGGGAAAAUACAUUGGGCUAAAUUCAGAUCUUGGAUGCAUUUUUAUAAUUGAAACAACAAUAUAGCCAGCUAUGUUAUUUUAAUUUAAAAGUAUGCUAGCAAAAAAAAAAAAAAAAAGCAGAAUUAGAGAUGUAGAGUCUAAUAGAACCAAUCUCCUUCAUGAUGAGAUGCUGAGUCUUUAAAGAAAACUUUAGCACCUAUGUUCAAAAAAUUAAUUUCCUACCCAUUCCAAGAGUACUGUGCAUUUUGAUAGAGCAGAACUGCAAUGCAGUAAGGCAUUAAAUAGAUCUCAAAAACUACCUUUUUUUGUUCCACUGGAAGGCUGAACCUGUGAGAUCAACUAGAUUUGUGUGUGACUGUAGUUAUUCCUCACUAGUGGAGUUGAUGAAUGAGUUUAAAAUUUUCACCCACCAUAUCCUGAAUAAACAAAAAUUAUUUAUUCCUCCUCUGAAAAUUUCUUACAGUUAAGUGCCUCCAUCUCUCAUAAUGAAGCUGGAGCUUGUUGUUCUGGAGACACCUCUCUAUUCUCAUGAUAUUUAAAUAAACUUGUCUCUCUACUACCAUUCCAUACUUUUCUAGCUCUCUAAGUCUCUAGAAAAGUAUCAGUUCCAGAAAAAAUAAUUGAAUAGCUCAAGAUAAAAUUUAGAAAGCAAGCUAUCUUCCAUACUUUUCCUCUGCUUGACACUCCAGCAGAACAUUCUGGUUCACAUUUCCUAGGCAAAAAAAUGAAGCAUAAAGUUCUGUUUUCCGAUGAUCCUGGACUGUAAGCUUUGCUCUUUGGCACAGUUUGAAAGCAGGAUUACUUAGAAUUUUAAAAAUUUUCUUAUUCAAGGAGAAAGAUUCUCUUUUUCAUAUUGGCUCAUUUUGUUGUUUGCAAAACUAACAUGUGGAUCUAGAACCUGAUUUUAAAUACUGUGGCCAGGAGUUG